AGCAAACAUUUUGAAUUUUGAUGAAGUCUGAUUUAUCCAUUUUUUUCAUUUAUGAUUUCUGCUUUCUGUGUUUUUUCUGAGAAACCUUUGCCUACCGUCAAGCUGUAAAGCUAUUUUCCAAUGUUUUCUUUGAAAGCUUUAAUUUUAAAAUGUCUAGUUUAAUAGUACAUCUCAAGUUAAUUUUGGUGUAUGGUGUGAGGUAUAAGUCAAGGCUAUUUUUUUUUCUGAUGGAUUCUUCUUGUUCUACCAUCUGUCAAAAAGAUUUUUCUUCCCUCAUUGGCUUGCUUUGGUGCCUAAAAACAAUCCUGGAAGAGUGGGUCUGUUUCUGCUCUUUAUUCUUCUCCAUUGAUCUGUUUGUCAGUCCAUAUCAGUAAAACACUGUCUGAUUUACCGUAGCUUUAUGUACUAAGUUUGAAAUAACGUGGUGUAAGCCCUUCAACUUUGUUCUUUUUCGAGAUAGCCUUGGAUGUUCUAGAUCCUUUGCCUUUCUGAUUGUAAAAUCAGUUUGUCAUUGUCUACAAGAAACGUCUGCUGGGAUUAUGCUGGGCAUUGCACUGGACCCAGAGAUGAAUUUGAGGGGAAUUGCUGUCUUGACAAUGUUGAAUAUUCUAAUCCAUGAACAUGAUAUAUUUCUCUAUUUAUAUAGAUUGUCUUUAAUUUCUCCUAGUAAUAUUGUGUGGCUUUUGGUAUGACGAUCUUAGAUCUUUUCUUACACUUAUUACUAAUAUUUUGGUUUUUGACAGUGUUGUAAAUGGAAUUUUUUUCAUUUCAUUUUCCAGUUUGUUGCUAGUCUAUAAAAAUUUCUGUAUUUUAAGCUUAUAUCCUGUGACUUUGCUAAAUCAUUAGUUCUAAUAGUUGCUUUGUAAAUUCCUUAAGAUUGCAAUAGAGACAGUUUGACAUCUUUCUGGUCCUUGUGCUUUUUAUUUCAUUUUCUUGUCUUAUUGCAAUGUGUAAGACCUCCAGUACAGAGUGAAGAGAGUGAGCAUCCUUGCCCUGUUUCCAGUCUUAAAGGGAAGACUUCAUUAUUUUCGCUAUUAAGUAUGAUGUUAGCUCUAGAUUUCUGAUAAAUGUCCUUUCAAUUGAAGGAGUUUCUUCCUAUUUUUAGGUUUCUAAGUUUUCACCAAGGAUAAGCAUUGAAUUUUGUCAUGCUUUUUCUGCAUCUGUUGUAUAGAUAUGAUUUUUCUCCUGACUGGUUGAAUUUGAAUUUAUUACCACAACAUCAUAUGGAAACUCACCAGUGCCUACACAUGUUUCCUACAGUGGUCCUACAUGUUUCCAAUAACUGUAUUUGCUUAUCUCCGAGGUGAUUGUUUCCUACUGUUUUCACUUUUUAAACCUCCUGCCUCUGGGCCCCUCAAAGCUAAUAACCACUCCUCAUGCCUCAGAGAGAAACUGAUACUUUGAGUGGGGAAUCCCUUACCUUUCCUCCUUCAAAUGACCAACCCACCUGCAUCUGCACCAUCUUCUCCUUUCCCUCCCGUUCAAAUGGGGAGAAGGAGAUUUCAUCCUAUUGAAGACCAGUCCUACUGGAUGCCGUCGUCUUCCAGUUUGUUAAGUGGCUUGUUCCCUCAGCUAGCCUGCGUCUCCUGCGGUGUCAGUCUCGCCAUCAGUGUAUCUAGGAGCCUGUGUAUUUCAAAGCAGAAAUUUCCCUUGACCCUACAGAUCUUACGUUUGACCGUACUUAUGAGCACGCAUGGCCCCCAGCUCCUCCCUGCAUUUCUGCAUCUCUCAUAACACAACUUCUGCUCAGCGCCCACACUCUUCUUCCCUUGCUUACCUCCCUGUCACAUUCAUUCUGCCUCCACCUCGCCAGCGGAAUUGGUCAGGGUCUCCCAAGCAACGUAUGCUUUCCCUCACAGGUGGAAGGUAAACAAACACGUGGACGAGGAAAACAGAUCAGUGGUCACCAGAGGAGGAGGGAGAAAGGGGUAAAGGGGCGCGUAUGUAUGGUGACGGACGAAAACUGGGCUGUUAGGGGAGCAGGAUGCAGUCUGUACAGAAGCUGAUAUAUGAUGAUGUACACCUGAAAUUACACAAUGUUAUAAACAACAUGACCUCAAUAAAAUGAUUUUUAAAAUCUGAAUUGGUCAAGGUCUCCAGAUGGCGUCCAUGUUACCAGGUUCGGUGGAUGUUCUCGUCUCAGCUGAGCCCCCAGCAGCACUGGACACAGUGUUGAUUCGUCCGUGGUGAACGCUCAGCGGCAGCGCUGUAACUCAUGCUGAAGGAAGCUGAUCUGACGCGCACCAUCUCUGGCGCACGUCGCAGCCUUCGAGCACUUAGAGCACGAGCUGGCACCUCAGCACUCUGGUUGGGGGCCGUUUUAAACUGUGAAGUCACCAACCAAGAGCACAAAAAUGCAAAAACUAGACCACGAGAAGGACAGCUGUUUACAGUAUGAGAGCAGAAGCAAGAAGGCAGAGUGUCACCUGGUUCCGCCUCAGCUGGGAGCUGCGUCCGGCAGCUCCAGCCCUUCACCGCUCCCUGUGCGUCCGUGGAUCACUGUAAACGCACCGCAGCUGUUCGCUUCAGAGAUUGCCAGUGAACACCAGCAACCAGGCAGGUUCGCAAUAAAGAAUCUGUGAAUGACGAGGAUCGGCUGUAUUUGGAAGAAGGUUCUUUUUACCGCUGAUUAACUGAUGGGGGCAGUGAAUUUAAAUAAAGUUUACUUGUUUAAUGAAAA